rnacentral:rRNA from 1 species
GUGUCAGCCGCCGCGGUAAUACGAAGGGACCUAGCGUAGUUCGGAAUUACUGGGCUUAAAGAGCACGUAGGUGGUUGGAAAAGUUGGUGGUGAAAUCCCAAGGCUUAACCUUGGAACUGCCAUCAAAACUUUUUAACUAGAGUAUGAUUGAGGUAAGCGGAAUUUCUAGUGUAGAGGUGAAAUUCGUAGAUAUUAGAAAGAACACCAAUUGCGAAGGCAGCUUUCUGGAUCAUUACUGACACUGAGGUGCGAAAGCAUGGGUAGCGAAGAGGAUUAGAUACCCUCGUAGUCCAUGCCGUAAACGAUGUGUGCUAGACGUUGGAAAUUUAUUUUUCAGUGUCGCAGCAAAAGCGUUAAGCACACCGCCUGGGGAGUACGACCGCAAGGUUAAAACUCAAAUGAAUUGACGGGGACCCGCACAAGUAGUGGAGCAUGUGGUUUAAUUCGAAGAUACGCGCAGAACCUUACCAACACUUGACAUGUUCGUCGCGACUUUAAGAGAUUAGAGUCUUCGGUACGGCCGGACGAAACACAGGUGCUGCAUGGCUGUCGUCAGCUCGUGUCGUGAGAUGUUGGGUUAAGUCCCGCAACGAGCGCAACCCUUACUUUUAGUUGCUACCAUUUAGUUGGGCACUCUAAAAGAACUGCCAGUGAUAAGCUGGAGGAAGGUGGGGAUGACGUCAAGUCCUCAUGGCCCUUACGUGUUGGGCUACACACGUGCUACAAUGGUAUUUACAGUGGGAUGCUAAGAGGCAACUCCAAGCCAAUCCCUAAAAGAUACCUCAGUUCGGAUUGCACUCUGCAACUCGAGUGCAUGAAGCUGGAAUUACUAGUAAUCGUGGAUCAGCGCGCCACGGUGAAUACGUUCCCGGGUCUUGCACACACCGCCCGUC